AUUGAACGCUGGCGGCAGGCCUAACACAUGCAAGUCGAGCGAGCGGCGGACGGGUGGGUAAUGUAUGGGGACUGCCCGAUAGAGGGGGAUAACUACUGGAAACGGUAGCUCAUACCGCAUACUAUCGGAUAACCCAUAUGGGAUUAGCUAGUAGGUGAGGUAAUGGCUCACCUAGGCGACGAGCCCUAGCUGGUCUGAGAGGAUGAUCAGGCAGACUGGGACUGAGACACGGCCCAGACUCCUACGGAGGCAGCAGUGGGGAAUAUUGCACAAUGGGCGAAAGCCUGAUGCAGCCAUGCCGCGUGUAUGAAGAAGGCCCUAGGGUUGUAAAGUACUGUCAGUCGGGAGGCGUUACCGACAGAAGAAGCACCGGCUAACUCCGUGCCAGCAGCCGCGGUAAUUC
rnacentral:rRNA from 1 species